UGAAGCUCUAAUGGAGUGAAAUCAACUUAUUUACCCUCCAAAAUAAUAAAGGAGUCAAGGUGCCAAUUUAUUUGACAAAUAAUCACAAAUGACAAAAAAUAAACAUGAAUUUGAAUCAAUUAAAUCAUGUCAACAAACCACAUUUAAGAAGUCACAAGAAGAAAGGACUUGAUUGCAAAAAUUAAUAAAGUCUUGGGGUCAAAAUUACAGAAAAAUAAAGUUCAAGGACCUAAUUGCAAUUAAAGUAAGGACCGAAUUGAAAGUAGUUGAAAAUAUCUAGGGCCACAGUGAAAUUAAAGAAAAGUACAGGGACUGAUCUGCAAAUGCAUUCUCUGGUUUCUUAAUGGACCAGGCCAUGGGGCCAUUUAUUAUUUGUUUGGGCCAAAGCUUCCCAGCCCAAUGGAAAUUCAGAACAAAAAGGGAAUGGGCCAUUUUAUUUGUUCGUUGGGGCCAAGCUCUUCCUAGCCCAACCGAAAAACCCAAGCAAAAACAGAUGGGCUAGCUUUCACUUUCCAGCAAAGCAAAUCCAACCAACAGAGUGGGCUUCACCUCUUAAACCCAAACCAGAAAUCCAAACAAACGAAAUUAAGCCCACUUUUCAAACCCAACCAAAUAUUAUUACCCAAAAAAACCAAAUCAUAAAACUAAACUCAACAAGAUUAGCAAAUCAAAUAAAAUUAUCAAGCCACAAUUAUGAUCUAAAAUCAAGAAUUAAUCCACCCAAAAGACGACUUGAAAAAUGAAAGGAUAAUUAAAGUCUAAAAGGGCAAAAUUGGUUUAAUUACCCAAAGGUUUUAGGCCAUAUCAGAAUAGGGGAAAUUCAAGGGAUUCAAAUGCAACCAAAGCAGGGACCUAAUUGAAUGAAUUAUAGCAGCUUGGGGGGGGCAAAAUGUAAUUUUUCCUUUUGAUUUCAUGCAUGUAUACGUAGAAGGACCAUUCUUUUCUUUACUUUGAGCCGCAAAUGAAAGCUGGAAUCUGCAAAUUUCUGCCGCAAACUUUGGCAGCUUUGAGCCAUGCGUAUUUCAAACCAGAAAAGAAAGGAAAAAACAUGCAAAUGCUGGAGAAUUCAAUGCAAAAUGGCUCGACAAUCCUGCUCUGCAUUUUCCAGCAAACAUUCAUGCCAAAUUCUGGAAAAUCAUGCAAAACAUGUAAAGAAAAAAAGAAGAGAAAAAAAAACAAAAGGCUGCUGCAACUUUUUUUAAGAUUCCUACACCAUUUCUGCCAUGACUUUCUCUCCAUCUCAUCAGGCAAACAGGUUCACUAGAUAUCUGGAUUUAACUCUCAGCUAUCAACUAAAACAAUAGCUAAAUUUUGUUGCAGUUUUAAAGCAAGAAGUCUAAGCAGACCGACAGGGAUAAAAGGAGCUAAACAGCAAAAGAAUGGGAAAAAUGCAGCAGGAAUUUUUUCUACAACUUGCUGAGAAACAUUACCAACAAAACAUCAACUUUGAACCCAAAACAACCACAAGAUGCAACCCCAAUCAUCAAACAAGCCAAAUAUUACACUUUAUUGCAAGAUUUCUGGUUGCUGGGUUUCUUUUUGCAAAUUGCAGCGCAUGAACUUAGAUACAUUUUCAGAGGAGCUGGUCGUAUAAAUGCCCUUUCCUUUCAAAGAUGACAUCUUGCUACUAAAAUGCAGUCCAGGAACAAAAAUAACAACGUCGAACAGAUUUGGAACCCAACAAAGCAUAUCCCGUAACCUAGGAACAAAAGAUCGCAGCUUUACGACUAUCGGUAAGGAAAUAGCUACUGUAAUCCAGACUUUUCCAUGCUCACGGACUCAAAAUCAAGAGAGACAAUCAAAAACACCAAGUAAACCCCUGAUUUCAUAGACACAGAUUUAGUAACAAAGAUUGUCCAUAGGAUAAAGUCAAGAAAGAACCUUACAGCGUUGUUUUUCUGAUGAAUUUUAUCGGCAAAAACUUGAGUAGCAACCCUCUUCGUUCUUUUUGAUUUGACCAGAGACCUCAAAGCUUUGCCCAGCCGUGACCUUCUUGGUUCUCCUCCUCCUUCAAGCUUUCUCAGCCUUCAAGCCCUCUAGUGUUUUUCUUUUCCUCUCGCUGCUGUUUUUAUCUAGCCCGAUGUCCGAUCUUCCCCUUCCUCAUCUCUUUUCCUCUUGCGGCGCCCCUUUUCUUUUCUUUUGCUCUCAGAUUUCUCCCUUCCUCUCAUCCAGCCAUCAUAAACUCCACUCUUAGCUUCCUCUCGAAACUCCCUCAGCUAUCCUUCUUUCACUCUAUCUAUCCCCUUUCCCUUUUUUUUCAGCCCCGGAUUUUCAAUCCCUUUUUUAUCCAGCCGUCCCCUUCAAUCCCCUUGGUUCCUUUCUUUUCACUGUUAACCUUCCCUUUCUCCCAGCCGCAAGCCUUUUUUUUUUGAUUUUCUUAGCCGUCUUCCCCCCUUUGUCCUCUCUUGCGACUUCCGUUUUUUUUUUCCUCAGCCUCCUACCCUAGCUCCCUUCUAGAAUCCCCUUCUCCAGGUGUCCUAGACACCUGGCUUCUUAUGCUAAGAUUUACCCCCCAAAGGACCUCCUGAAAUCUGGUUUGCAAGCUGCGGCAAAACGCAGCUUGCAUGCUGCGUAUUUUUUUUUUUUUUUUUGUUUAACAAAAUGAUAAUGAUAAAAUUAAAAAGAAAAACAACAAAUUAAUUAACAUUGGCUAGCAAUAAAUAAACUAAAAACAAUAAACAACAAAAACAAUUGCAAUUUUUCAUUUUCCUUUCUUCUUUUCUUUUUCGUUUUUCUCAUUUUCUCAUUUUUCCUUUUUUCCCUUUUUUUUUCAAAAAAAA
rnacentral:lncRNA from 1 species